rnacentral:tRNA from 1 species
GGAGCAGACGGUCAAUGCGCCUAAAUUCAUGAGGAUAGAAGAGAUUGAUCUAGGGUUUGUCCGAUAAUAAUAUGUUAGAAGUAUACGGGAGGUUCGAUUCCUCCCUGCUCCGCCA